GAUGAACGCUGGCGGCGUGCCUAAUACAUGCAAGUCGAGCGAAUGGAUUAAGAGCUUGCUCUUAUGAAGUUAGCGGCGGACGGGUGAGUAACACGUGGGUAACCUGCCCAUAAGACUGGGAUAACUCCGGGAAACCGGGGCUAAUACCGGAUAACAUUUUGAACCGCAUGGUUCGAGAUUGAAAGGCGGCUUCGGCUGUCACUUAUGGAUGGACCCGCGUCGCAUUAGCUAGUUGGUGAGGUAACGGCUCAACAAGGCAACGAUGCGUAGCCGAGCUGAGAGGGUGAUCGGCCACGCUGGGACUGAGACGCGGACGACACUCCUACGGGAGGCAGCAGUAGGGAAUCUGCCGCAAUGGACGAAAGUCUGACGGAGCAACGCCGCGUGAGUGAUGAAGGCUUUAGGGUCGUAAAACUCUGUUGUUAGGGAAGAACAAGUGCUAGUUGAAUAAGCUGGCACCUUGACGGUACCUAACCAGAAAGCCACGGCUAACUACGUGCCAGCCGCCGCGGUAA
rnacentral:rRNA from 1 species